rnacentral:rRNA from 1 species
CACGUAGGGGGCAAGCGUUGUCCGGAUUUAUUGGGCGUAAAGAGCUCGUAGGCGGCUUGUCGCGUCGACCGUGAAAACUUGGGGCUCAACCCCAAGCCUGCGGUCGAUACGGGCAGGCUAGAGUUCGGUAGGGGAGACUGGAAUUCCUGGUGUAGCGGUGAAAUGCGCAGAUAUCAGGAGGAACACCGGUGGCGAAGGCGGGUCUCUGGGCCGUAACUGACGCUGAGACACGAAAGCGUGGGUAGCAAACAGG